CUAUAGACUACACGGUAAAUAUUUUAGUUGGAUAACUGAGGUAAUUCUUGAGCUAAUACACGCUAUUUAUACCACAUUAGUGGUGCGUUUAUUUGAUUAAACCAUUUUAUAUUGGUUGACUCAAAAUAUCCUCGCUGAUUUUGUUACUAAAACAUACCGUAUGUGUAUCUGGUUUAUCAACUUUCGAUGGUAGGGUAUUGGCCUACCAUGGUUGUGACGGAUAACGGAGAAUUAGGGUUCGACUCCGGAGAGGGAGCCUGAGAAACGGCUACCACAUCCAAGGAAGGCAGCAGGCGCGAAAAUUACCCAAUUUUAGUUAAAAGAGGUAGUGACGAAAAAUGACAACCAAAUAUUAUUAUUAAUAUUUGGAUUGAAAAUCUUCAAGUUUAAAUAACUUGUUGGUAAAGGAAAGGGCAAGUCUGGUGCCAGCAGCCGCGGUAAUACCAGCUUUCCAAGUGCAUAAAAUGAUUGUUGUGGUUAAAAAGCUCGUAGUUGGAUUAUAAAGAUUGUAUAAUGAGCAUCUUGGAUGUUAUUUAAUCAUUAUCAUCUUAUAUUUUUAUUAUAUUAGAAAUAAUAUAAUAACUGUUACUUUGAAUAAAUCAGAGGGUUUAAACCAGACAUUAUAUGUUUGUAUGGUCUAGCAUGGAAUAACACUAUAGAAAAAUUUAGUGUGGUUUCACUUAAUUUUUCAUGAUUAAUAGGAACAAACGG
rnacentral:rRNA from 1 species